GACGAACGCUGGCGGCGUGCCUAAUACAUGCAAGUAGAACGCUGAAGGAGGAGCUUGCUCUUCUGGAUGAGUUGCGAACGGGUGAGUAACGCGUAGGUAACCUGCCUGGUAGCGGGGGAUAACUAUUGGAAACGAUAGCUAAUACCGCAUAAUAGUAGAUGUUGCAUGAUAUUUACUUAAAAGGUGCAAUUGCACCACUACCAGAUGGACCCGCGUUGUAUUAGCUAGUUGGUGGGGUAACGGCUCACCAAGGCGACGAUACAUAGCCGACCUGAGAGGGUGAUCGGCCACACUGGGACUGAGACACGGCCCAGACUCCUACGGGAGGCAGCAGUAGGGAAUCUUCGGCAAUGGACGAAAGUCUGACCGAGCAACGCCGCGUGAGUGAAGAAGGUUUUCGGAUCGUAAAGCUCUGUUGUAAGAGAAGAACGAGUGUGAGAGUGGAAAGUUCACACUGUGACGGUAUCUUACCAGAAAGAGACGGCUAACUACGUG
rnacentral:rRNA from 1 species